UCCCUGGUAGUCCAGUGGCUAAGACUGCACUCUCAAUGCAGGGAACCUGGGUUCGAUCCCCAGUCAGGGAA
rnacentral:tRNA from 1 species